rfam:Candidatus Micrarchaeota archaeon CG1_02_47_40 cg1_0.2_scaffold_6_c, whole genome shotgun sequence.
ACUCCAGUUGAUCCUGCUGGAGGAUACUGCUAUCAGAGUCCGACUAAGCCAUGCAAGUCAGCCCGCAACCAUUGCGGACGGCGUAAGGCUCAGUAACACGUAGUCAAUCUGCCCUUUGGACGUGGACAUCCUCGAGAAAUUGAGGUUAACCCGCGAUAGGCCAUCUAUGCUGGAAUGCUUGAUGGUUUAAAGGUGCGCGCGAAUUGGAGUGCGCACGCCGGAGGAUGAGACUGCGGUUGAUUAGGUAGUUGGUGAGGUAACGGCUCACCAAGCCGAUAAUCAGUAGGGGCGAUGGGAGUCGGAGCCCCGAGAAGAGCACUGAGACAAGGGCUCUAGUCCUACGGGAUGCAGCAGGCGCGAAACCUCUGCAAUGCGCUAAAGCGUGACAGGGGGACUCUGAGUGGCGGAGAACUUAGUUCUCCGUCUUUUGACAAGCUUAGAUGGCUUGUAGAAUAAGUGCUGGGUAAGACCAGUGCCAGCCGCCGCGGUAAUACUGGCAGCACAAGUGGUAUCCACGAAUAUUGGGUCUAAAGAGUUCGUAGCUGGCUUGCUAAGUUCACUGUGAAAUCUUGGAGCCUAACUCCAAGGCGUGCAGUGAAUACUGGCAGGCUUGAGAGCGGGGGAGGCGUGGAGUACUUACGGGGUAAGGGUAAAAAGGAGAGUAUUGAAUGCCGUAAUGCGCAAUACUUUUCAUUAUAAUCUCGUAAUCCUGUAAGGACUCACAGUGGCGAAGGCGCCACGCCAAAACGCGUCUGACAGUGAGGAACGAAGGCUAGGAGAACAAAUCGGAUUAGAUUUGGAGCUAGGGAAACGCUAAUAAAUAACAACGGAUUGAUAGAAUUAUGAGAUUAGAGCGCCGGGUAAGAGACCUCGUGAGUAAGCAGAAACGAAAGCCGCUUAUGAAGGUUAAACUUCCAGUCGAAACAAGCCCAGAACUCUGUAGAGUGCUUGGCAUUCUACAUGGCGAUGGGAAUAUGUCUGGAAGACGAGUUUUGCUAACCGACGAAAACAGGGUGUUCCACAGAACGAUACAUAAACUGUUUAAAACGGUUUUUGGAAUUAGGAUGAAUCUGUUUCACGACAUAAGAAGAAAUUCGUAUUACAGUUAUACGAAAAGUGUCUUGGUGUAUCGUUUUUUGAACGAAAUAAUGGAAAUGCCCUGCGGUCCAGUAAGACAAAAUCUGAAGAUUCCGUCUUAUAUGGAAAAGCUUGGUUUGAAACACCAAGCAGAGUAUGUUGGCGGACUCUUUGACGCUGAAGGAUGCGUCAAAACAAGACAGGCCGAACUCAACCUCUCAUCUACUUCAAAGAAUAUCUUCAAGUUUAUUGGAGGGUUUUUGAAGAAGAUUGGGGUGACGUACAGUACGUAUGAGAGGAGAAGGCACAAAAAUCCGGAAUAUGAGAUAUAUGUUUAUGGAAAAGACGACUUGAAAAAAUUUUCAAGAUAUGUUUCUUUUUUGCAUCCGUUGAAAAUGAAAAAGAUGGCGAAAUUUCUUUAGCUCCACUAAAAACCCGAGUAGCCCUAGCAGUAAAUGAUGCAGACUGUGGUGUUGCGUCAGCCUAGAGCUGGCGCAGUGCUGUAGCGUAGACGGUGCGAGUUUGGGUAGAUGCGGAUAAGAUGCAGCAAACGCGCACCGGCGGAAGUCUUAAGUCUGCCACCUGGGGAGUACGAUCGCAAGAUUUAAACUUAAAGGAAUUGGCGGGGGAGCACCACAAGGGGUGGAAGCUGCGGUUCAAUUGGAUACAACGCCGGGAAUAUUACCAGAAGAGACGGCAGAAUGAUGGCCAGACUGAAGAUCUUGCCUGACAAGCCGAGAGGUACUGCACGGCCAUCGUCAGCUCGUGGUGUGAACUGUCCCGUUAAGUCGGGAAACGAGCGAGACCCUUAUGUACUGUUGCCAGCUUUCCUUUGCAGGAAGGCGCACUCUGUACAGACUGCCCGUGUUAAAUGGGAGGAGGGAGAGGGCGACGAUAGGUCAGUAUGGUCUGAAUCUUCUUGGGCUACACGUGGCUUACAAUGGCUGGGACAAUGGGCAGCAACUCCGAAAGGAGAAGCGAAUCUCACAAACCCAGCCCAAGUUCGGAUUGAGGGCUGGAACUCGCCCUCAUGAAGCUGGAAUCCCUAGUAAUCGCUUGUCAACAAUCGAGGCAAUCUAGCGAAAUGUUUAUAUUGUUAGCCGCAUUUAUUCUUGCGGUUAACAGUAUGGAAACUAACUGGAAGAAGAAUCCCA